GGCCUGGUGGUGUAGUGGUAACAUAUCCUCUAUACCUACAGUAGAUUUGGAUGGUUGUGAGGAAGUUCCCUGUUCGACCCGGGGCCAGGCCG